rnacentral:rRNA from 3 species
AGAGUUUGAUCAUGGCUCAGAUUGAACGCUGGCGGCAGGCCUAACACAUGCAAGUCGAACGGUAACAGGAAGCAGCUUGCUGCUUCGCUGACGAGUGGCGGACGGGUGAGUAAUGUCUGGGAAACUGCCUGAUGGAGGGGGAUAACUACUGGAAACGGUGGCUAAUACCGCAUAACGUCGCAAGACCAAAGAGGGGGACCUUCGGGCCUCUUGCCAUCAGAUGUGCCCAGAUGGGAUUAGCUUGUUGGUGAGGUAACGGCUCACCAAGGCGACGAUCCCUAGCUGGUCUGAGAGGAUGACCAGCCACACUGGAACUGAGACACGGUCCAGACUCCUACGGGAGGCAGCAGUGGGGAAUAUUGCACAAUGGGCGCAAGCCUGAUGCAGCCAUGCCGCGUGUAUGAAGAAGGCCUUCGGGUUGUAAAGUACUUUCAGCGGGGAGGAAGGUGUUGUGGUUAAUAACCACAGCAAUUGACGUUACCCGCAGAAGAAGCACCGGCUAACUCCGUGCCAGCAGCCGCGGUAAUACGGAGGGUGCAAGCGUUAAUCGGAAUUACUGGGCGUAAAGCGCACGCAGGCGGUCUGUCAAGUCGGAUGUGAAAUCCCCGGGCUCAACCUGGGAACUGCAUUCGAAACUGGCAGGCUUGAGUCUUGUAGAGGGGGGUAGAAUUCCAGGUGUAGCGGUGAAAUGCGUAGAGAUCUGGAGGAAUACCGGUGGCGAAGGCGGCCCCCUGGACAAAGACUGACGCUCAGGUGCGAAAGCGUGGGGAGCAAACAGGAUUAGAUACCCUGGUAGUCCACGCCGUAAACGAUGUCUACUUGGAGGUUGUGCCCUUGAGGCGUGGCUUCCGGAGCUAACGCGUUAAGUAGACCGCCUGGGGAGUACGGCCGCAAGGUUAAAACUCAAAUGAAUUGACGGGGGCCCGCACAAGCGGUGGAGCAUGUGGUUUAAUUCGAUGCAACGCGAAGAACCUUACCUGGUCUUGACAUCCACAGAAGAAUCCAGAGAUGGAUUUGUGCCUUCGGGAACUGUGAGACAGGUGCUGCAUGGCUGUCGUCAGCUCGUGUUGUGAAAUGUUGGGUUAAGUCCCGCAACGAGCGCAACCCUUAUCCUUUGUUGCCAGCGGUCCGGCCGGGAACUCAAAGGAGACUGCCAGUGAUAAACUGGAGGAAGGUGGGGAUGACGUCAAGUCAUCAUGGCCCUUACGACCAGGGCUACACACGUGCUACAAUGGCGCAUACAAAGAGAAGCGACCUCGCGAGAGCAAGCGGACCUCAUAAAGUGCGUCGUAGUCCGGAUUGGAGUCUGCAACUCGACUCCAUGAAGUCGGAAUCGCUAGUAAUCGUGGAUCAGAAUGCCACGGUGAAUACGUUCCCGGGCCUUGUACACACCGCCCGUCACACCAUGGGAGUGGGUUGCAAAAGAAGUAGGUAGCUUAACCUUCGGGAGGGCGCUUACCACUUUGUGAUUCAUGACUGGGGUGAAGUCGUAACAAGGUAACCGUAGGGGAACCUGCGGUUG